CAGCUCUCCGAGUGGUAGGGAUGAUUAUUGGGCUUAAAGCGUCCGUAGCCGGCUUAGCAAGUUUCCUGUUAAACCCAGCGACUCAAUCGUUGGAUCGCGGGAAAUACUACUAGGCUAGGAGGCGGGAGAGGUCAACGGUACUUCUGGGGUAGGGGUGAAAUCCUAUAAUCCCGGGAGGACCACCAGUGGCGAAGGCUGUUGACUAGAACGCGCUCGACAGUGAGGGACGAAAGCUGGGGGAGCGAACCGGAUUAGAUACCCGAGUAGUCC
rnacentral:rRNA from 1 species